CCUACAGGGAGGCAGCAGUGGGGAAUCUUGCACAAUGGAGGAAACUCUGAUGCAGCGAUGCCGCGUGAGUGAAGAAGGCCCUAGGGUUGUAAAGCUCUUUCGUCGGGGAAGAAAAUGACUGUACCCGAAUAAGAAGGGCCCGGCUAACUUCGUGCCAGCAGCCGCGGUAAU
rnacentral:rRNA from 1 species